GAGGAACACCAGUGGCGAAGGCGACUCUCUGGUCUGUAACUGACGCUGAGGAGCGAAAGCGUGGGGAGCGAACAGGAUUAGAUACCCUGGUAGUCCACGCCGUAAACGAUGAGUGCUAAGUGUUAGGGGGUUUCCGCCCCUUAGUGCUGCAGCUAACGCAUUAAGCACUCCGCCUGGGGAGUACGGUCGCAAGACUGAAACUCAAAGGAAUUGACGGGGGCCCGCACAAGCGGUGGAGCAUGUGGUUUAAUUCGAAGCAACGCGAAGAACCUUACCAGGUCUUGACAUCCUCUGACAAUCCUAGAGAUAGGACGUCCCCUUCGGGGGCAGAGUGACAGGUGGUGCAUGGUUGUCGUCAGCUCGUGUCGUGAGAUGUUGGGUUAAGUCCCGCAACGAGCGCAACCCUUGAUCUUAGUUGCCAGCAUUCAGUUGGGCACUCUAAGGUGACUGCCGGUGACAAACCGGAGGAAGGUGGGGAUGACGUCAAAUCAUCAUGCCCCUUAUGACCUGGGCUACACACGUGCUACAAUGGACAGAACAAAGGGCAGCGAAACCGCGAGGUUAAGCCAAUCCCACAAAUC
rnacentral:rRNA from 1 species